AGUCAGUGUUGUGUUGUGGCUGGCGCUGCAGCAGCCUCUGCUGCUGCUGAGCUGUGCCACACAGGGGAGAACCGUCAGGGAAUCCAUCAAGACAUCAAUAUUCCAGUGUUCACUUGUCUCACUCUAAAUGUCUGGUGUUUGUAUUGUUUGAGAUUUGCCCUCUUGCUUUUUCAUGCACUGCAGUCAGCUUGCACCAACACCUUCCAUCCAGUCUUGUAGUGCUUGGGUGACGUUUAUACAGAGUUAAAUCCCUCUCUCCUUGCACGUUCCCGAUGAAGCAAUGUAGAAAAACUGCUUGACAUCCAAACAUUUGUGUAACAGGCAUGUGCUCAGUUUUAACACUGAGUGUAAAUCCAGUCCUUCUCUGUGACACUGGGCAGAAAUCCCAGUGGAAGUUUUUCCUGCCUCUAACCUGUCUACUUUCUUUCAUAAUGAUGAAUGCUGAGAGGGAAAGCCUGAGGGAGGGAAGGGUGGAGCUUUCUAAGCUUUGAAUUGAUCGUGUUUUAAGAAGGAUGGGAAAGAAGAAUGCAGAUUCAUUUAAAACAGAACUUUUAUAUGGCUGAAAUCUUGGAUAUUUUUCUCAUUUUGGUCAUCUUUAGUGUUCUCAUAAGUAAGUCUUAGACUAAAUUCUUACCCGAAGAUGUCUAACCAGGGCCAGGUUCCAAGGGCAGACUCGGGGCUGCAGUCCCAGCCUGCGGGCACCUUGGUGCCUGCCCAGGGACCUCUAAGCUGCUCGGGGUAUGAGGGAUGUGAGGGCGGAGCAGAAAGGAGGAUUCGGAUCAAACAGCCUCAGGAGUCACCAGCACCAGCCCCUGCAGCCAUAAGCCCUCUCCUGGGGGUGCGUUUUUUCUAGAAGGAAACCUGAGGAGCUGCUGCUGUGCCUUCUUUACCUAUACCAUGGUCAACCCCUCACGUUGUGGAACUCCCUAAUCAAUGAACAGGUCUGGAGGUCUAUGGCUGGGGUUCAGAGGCUUCCUGCUGCCACAGGUGCUUUAUCCCUUCAUUACAUUUUGAUUCCCCAUCGUCCUUCCCACUUUACACUCACAGUCUUUGCUACUUAAAACCACAAAGCAAAAUUAAUAUAUUUUAAUUGUUGAAAGCCUUUUACUUGAAAUUUACCACAACGUUAGAAGCUCAUUCUCAGAAUUAAUCAGCCAGGUAGGCCUCCUGGUCAUGACUGCCAUAACAAGUUCCCUGACAGAAGGCAAGCCUGCGGCCUUGCUUGGCCGCCAUCACCACCUGGGCAGCUUCUCUGCUGGGCCAGGCAGCCCCUGCCGAGUUUAAUUUUACACUUCAGUUGAAAUGCAACCUAGGCUGGUCUAUACCUCACGGUGCUGGUGCAAGGAGUGGCUGUGAAUCCCCUCAUGAAACUGAUCUGAACUCUUAAUGCCUACUGUGACCAAGUGACAGAGCCCGGGGCAGUUUCUCAUGUGGCAGUGUUUUUGUGUUAAAGUACAUCUCAUGUUGGACACGGCUUUUUGCUUUUGUUGUACGGUUCCCAAUGUUUUCUUUGCUUUUAUUUUUAAUAUUGAUCCUGUAUUUGUGGAAAGGAAAUCUGUUCAAAACCUUGCUUUCCCCACCAGCAAGUCACAGUCUCAUGAUUUCCGUUACAUCCUACUAUCAAAGCAGUAAAAGCCCUCAAAUCACAUUGAAUUUAGGCUGCCUCUUGUCACAGUCAAGUGCAUGGCACCUCCUUGGAGCAGACCCUUGAAUUAAAAUAUUGUAAAUUUUUUGCUGUUCAAGCAAUACUGCAGAAACACUCGUGGCCAGGGAGGGAGGAGAAUUUUUCCUCCUGCUGGAAUUUUUCACUAUAACCAUCCUCAGGGGAGUUCUCAUCUUCAAAAGAAACAUUCCUUCUAUACAAGCUGCAAAAAGAAUUAUUUAAUGACAUCAUAAAUUAAUACAGAGAGGCACAAAUUUUCCAAAAUGUGGAGAGAGAGGAAAAAAAAAUUAGCGUUUGCCAAAAACACCCCAGCUCUUCCAGACUUAGGCCUCUCUUGAGCCUGCGAGCUGCCAACGAUACCAAAUUGAACGGUGGGGUUUUUGGCAUGGCUAAAGUUUAGCUUGUUUAAAUUUUGGCAAAUAUUCGUAUUACUCACAUACUCAGCAAACUGAUACAAAUAUUUGUUCUAUUUAGAGUGAGGUCCAAAGGCAGUGCUGGCAUCAGCGCUGCUGGACUCGGUGGAACUAUCUUUCUCGUGCCAAUAUUAAAUUUGGACAUCUACCUUAAAGAAAAACAGCCUUUUAGGUACAGAUUAGAAUACAUCAAUGGAAAACAGCCCUCGUGCGUAGCCAAGUUUUCCUCGCUUGCUAAUUUUUGCCUGAAUCUGAGUUGAAAUGGGCCUAGUUUUUCUGCACGCGGGCUGCCGCUCGCUGUUACGAUGCGGCGAGCCACCUAGGCAGAGCUGGAGCUGGAAGGGCCUCCGCACACACCGAGCCCUCCACAUUCCUGAGAAGCAAAAUGUGUUCCUGCUGCCGCACACCGAACCUGGGCGCGGUAACGUUUUAAUGCUGUGCAGGUUGCUGGGUUUGUUUUAGCGGUGGCUGCAGUUUACCGUUUCUAAUUCGAAAAACAAAUAGAGCAUUAACCUCCCACCUCCGGCUCCUCCAGGAGGCUCGGAUACUGUCGGGCUCCGCUUCUGGAGGCCCAGCAGCUUGGCAGAGAGCUGCCCCGUGGGCUGGUGGGGAGCUUGGUGCCGAUCACGCAGCAGCGAGCGGAGCCACAGCCACCAAACCCACCCAGAUGUGAAACACAGAACCGAAGCAGGAACCUGGGUGCCUCCCCCCUUGCCUCUGAGCUCUCUUUGGGAUCAGACACAGAAAGCGAGUUUGAAAUUUUGCAACGAAAACGAAACAAAAGCAAACAGACGCCACCCUUCCAUUCCUUAACUGAACGCAGCCAGAAUGCGCUGCGGGGGUGUGCUGGCUGCGGGUCUGUGUUCGGUUCAGAUGUGGUGUGUGAGCUGGAUGCUAUUUAGUGCUUGCUAAAUGCUUUUGUAAAGGCCGAGUAGGAGUGGGAUCCCCCUAACUUAACUUCAGCCAUUUAGAAAUGGGAAAUCUAGCCUGGCUGAGCUGGAUUCCUCUAUGAGUGGAAAAUAUCAUCGCCAUAGCAUGAUUCAUCCCCUUUUAAUCUAAGUGUCUGAUCUCUCUCCAUUGACUAUAAAAGGAGCCCAGCUGACCAGAUUAGCAUAUACCCAAAUUUUGGGCAUUUCUGUGCUAACUCAGCCUUUUACAACCGGGCCCUGUAGUGGCCAUACCAUGGCCUGUUUUUAAAACUAGGAGCUCGCGGUGUGCCACGGGGGUUCACAGAGCGCCUGCACAGCACCGAACCUCGGCCGUGAGCUUUACAAAAAGCCUGACGGCCGCGUGUGCCCUCGUCUGCUUCCAUCUGAACGUUAAACCCUGCAUUAGCUACGGGUUCAAGGCUCCUCUGCCUUCCCUGCAUGAGCAGAAAGCUGCCGGAACAAUUCUGGUAGGAGUUACUUUCAAAGCUGCCUUAAACCAAUAAAUAUUGCAUUAAUCAAGAGAAGCGGAGGAAAAAUGGUGCAAAAUAGCGGCGGUGAUUAUUCAUGGAAAAGGCCAUUAUUAUUGUUAGUCAUAUUUGUAAAACAGGCAAAGGAGCCAGUCCAGCUUGGCAUGUGGACUCUGGGCUCAUGACCCCAUAAAUUGUAGGCUACGGUGGCAGUGCUCGUCUCGUGGUGUUGAUUCAGUGUCACGGUGAGGAAUGACCCGAGCCUUUCACCUUAUGGCUGCCGAUACCCUCAGACCCCUGCGGCCCCCCAGCCCUGUAGUUCUUCACCACUGUACAUGCAACCGGUCCACGCAUAAGUAUGGGAGCAUCAUUUUGCUGCUCCUGUUACAAGCUGCUUUUAACUUCAGUCUAGCAGUGCUUGUGGUCCACUAAAAAUAAAUAAAAUAAAAUAAAAAAUAAAAAAGGAAAAGAAACACGAAAUACUGAAAACAAACAAAAAAACCCUUAGUCUUGCAGCAGGCAGUUAAAGUUUGCUGGUGUCGCUAUGGCACGGUUAUAAAGGGUCAAGUGUUAAUUUUGGGCAAGUGUUAAUUGGUAUAAUCAGACAGUAGGAAACAGAAGACAGACACAGCAGCCAGUAAUUCACCACGGAAUGUUUUUAUACUAAUUAUUGAAAUGCACCCAGAGACAGUUUAUAGUAGUAAAAUGACUUUAUGUUCUGAUAUGUAAAAUAAAAUGUCCAUGCUAUGUAACAAACAUUUAAAAAUUCCACACCACCUGUAUCUAAUGUGGUUUCUAAUAAAGAUUUAUCUGUAGUAUAUAUGUUUUUUAUCUAACCAAUUCUUAGUUUUUACAUCAAAGGUGUGUAAUAAAAAAAAAUCUUAAAUAGAUGUCUUUCAAAAAAAAACUUGCAACAUUCAUUUUUAUUAAGUAUUUCAUUCGUAAAAAGCAAAGCUGAAUUGGACACGUGGCCUGCAUUUGUGAUAUAUAUAUAUAUAUUUUUAUAUAUAUAUAUAAUAUAUAUAUGUAUAUAAAUAGCUAUUCAGCAUGCAAAAAUUGUAGUGAUUUCCAAAAUCCGAUUACAAAAUCCACACCAGUCACACGCAUGGUUUGCUGAUUUGGUUUAGGACUGUCCGGGUUGAAGCACGACCUCCACCUUAGUGGCUUCAGGGUUGUCUGACUGCGAGCAGCUGCCCUCGUUCACCAGCCUCUCCUCAUUGGAAUGGAUCCAUCCAAACGCAGAAGCACCUCCCGACUUCCAAAUUUGCAUUUCAGCUUUUUGUCUUUGCCCAGGUGGGAAGCAGGGGCAAAAAGCUUCCACCAACCCGCUGUUCACGACUAAGGCUUAAAUGCUGCGCUCUUUAGUGGAACCAGACUCCUAGCACCAUUUCUGUGCUCUCAUCUCUGGGUACACCACGGCAGCGCCAGGAUGCUUGGCGAGACGGAUGCUGCUUGUGCUGCACACUACAGACCAGAGCUCCAGAGCUUUUUGGGUAAAGUAAAUGGGAGUUUGGGUCCAUAAGGAGCACAGCUUUCUCUGCCAUGUGAGUCGGCUCAGUGAUUCUCUCGGCACUGUAGGCAAAGCCAGCACUGGAGUCAGUUCAAGAUACUUCCACGGUAAACAAUAGUAGCAAUGUAUACACUGGUUACAGAUUUUUUACCUGUUCUACAAAUAUUUGUACACUGUAAAGCCUGACAGGUAAUGGGAACUCUUUCCACUCCCACCCCCCAAUUAAAAACCACUUCUCUAUGCCUCCUUUAUGCUGAACACAAUUCUUUCUGAGUUAGCUGCAAAAGAAAAAAAAAAAAAAAACAUAGCACAAAAGGCACAUUUCAGCUGAAUACGAAAGAAAUCAAGGACCAGCAAAUACAGAAAUUGUUUCUGGAAAGUAUUAGCGACUUUUAAGCUUAAACUUCAUAAAUAUAUUGCAAU
rnacentral:lncRNA from 1 species